AACGAACGCUGGCGGCAGGCUUAACACAUGCAAGUCGAACGCCCCGCAAGGGGAGUGGCAGACGGGUGAGUAACGCGUGGGAACGUGCCCUUCGCUUCGGAAUAGCCCCGGGAAACUGGGAGUAAUACCGAAUACGCCGUAUUGGGAAAGAUUUAUCGGCGAAGGAUCGGCCCGCGUUAGAUUAGCUAGUUGGCGGUGUAAUGGACCACCAAGGCUACGAUCUAUAGCUGGUCUGAGAGGAUGAUCAGCCACACUGGGACUGAGACACGGCCCAGACUCCUACGGGAGGCAGCAGUGGGGAAUCUUGGACAAUGGGCGCAAGCCUGAUCCAGCCAUGCCGCGUGAGUGAAGAAGGCCUUAGGGUUGUAAACCUCUUUCGCCGGAGAAGAUAAUGACGGUAUCCGGAGAAGAAGCCCCGGCUAACUUCGUGCCAGCAGCCGCGGUAAAAC
rnacentral:rRNA from 1 species